UUGGAGGGCAAGUCUGGUGCCAGCAGCCGCGGUAAUUCCAGCUCCAAUAGCGUAUAUUAAAGUUGUUGCAGUUAAAAAGCUCGUAGUUGAAUUUCAGGCCUGGCUGGACGGUCCGCCCUUCGGGUGAGUACUGUCUGUGGUCGGGUCCUACCUUCUGGCGAAGCGUCAUGGCCUUAACCGGCCGUGGCGGGGAACCAGGACUUUUACUGUGAAAAAAUUAGAGUGUUCAAAGCAGGCCUUUGCUCGAAUACGUUAGCAUGGAAUAAUAGAAUAGGACGUGCGGUUCUAUUUUGUUGGUUUCUAGGACCGCCGUAAUGAUUAAUAGGGACAGUCGGGGGCAUCAGUAUUCAAUUGUCAGAGGUGAAAUUCUUGGAUUUAUUGAAGACUAACUACUGCGAAAGCAUUUGCCAAGGAUGUUUUCAUUAAUCAGUGAACGAAAGUUAGGGGAUCGAARACGAUCAGAUACCGUCGUAGUCUUAACCGUAAACUAUGCCGACUAGGGAUCGGGCGAUGUUCUUUUUUUUGACUCGCUCGGCACCCUAUGGGAAACCAAAG
rnacentral:rRNA from 1 species